rnacentral:rRNA from 1 species
AGCGUAGACGGUGUGGCAAGUCUGAUGUGAAAGGCAUGGGCUCAACCUGUGGACUGCAUUGGAAACUGUUGAUCUUGAGUACCGGAGAGGUAAGCGGAAUUCCUAGUGUAGCGGUGAAAUGCGUAGAUAUUAGGAGGAACACCAGUGGCGAAGGCGGCUUACUGGACGGUAACUGACGUUGAGGCUCGAAAGCGUGGUAGCAAACA